ensembl:lncRNA
CCGAGGCCCGCGCCCCCUCCUCACCUGCAUUCAGCGCGCCAGGGUCCGGGCGGCGGCGACGACGGCGGCGGCGGGGCGGCUGCUGCUGGGGCUGCGGCGGCGGGGGAGGCGGCGGCGGCGGUGGCGGCGGGGCUGAGGGCAGUAAAGACAUGCAGGCAGCCCGCCGGGGGGAGAGGCACCGGCCGGAGGGGACGCGGGGCGGGUGGGCCGGGCCGGGCCGCCUGAGGAACCACCGAGGCGGCGGAGGGCUGCCGAAGGGAGCGCAGAGCAGACGGAUCAGGGGGCGGGGAAGGGGAACGCGGGCCGCGCCGCGCCGGACCUGGGCGACCCGGGCGCGCAGGAGAGGGCCCGCGGUCGCCGGAGACGCGGCUGCCGCUGCUGCGAGAGCCUCGCGGAGCCCGCCCUUGGCCUUGGCCUUCUGGCGCUGAGGCUGCCGCCGCUGCGGGGGUUGCUGCCGAGCCGGGUGGUUGCCGAGGCCGGGGCCGAGCAGAGAGAGAAAGACAGGGAGAGAAGAGAGACGCGAGCUUUCGGUGCCUUCGCUCUAAUUCACACACGCUCACAACCCCGAGGGCCGGGGAGAGGAGUCCGGGCGCUAUCGCUUUAGAGAUUAAUAACAAGGUGCAGAGAGUGCGAGGAGGAGGAGGAGGAGGAGGAGAGUUGAUUGACGUGGAGGGGCUGGCGGGAGUCAGUCACUCCCCCGCGCCGAGGGGUGGGGUGAGGGAAGGGGCGGGGCUCCGGCGCCGCGGUUCGGGAGGUGCGCGUGCGUGUGGGGCGGCCAAGCUCCCGGCUGGCUUCCUUCCUCGCCCUCGCUGGUGUUUUGAAAAAAAAAAAAAUCUGCUUUAUUAGAUUGAGCGGAGAGUAGAGCCGAGAGGACUUGUACGAUUAGCAAAGCCCACGCGCUUAUGGGGAUGGGGAAGGGACACGCGGGUGCUUGCACUGUUCCCCUGCCGCUGGCCCACGCAGGCCCACAGCAGAGCUCAGGGCAUUCUGGGUGGUUCAGGAGACCUCAGCAGAGGGCCCAAAGGAUGGUGUGACACAGCUUUGUAAAGAAACAUACUCUAGACAGGAUUUCCUUUCACUAGUGGCACACUUCUAAGGAUUCAUUCUCUCCAUGAAUGUCAGCUAAAACCGUUAUUAAAAAAAUGAAAUAUCCCUAGAACAAAACCGUAUAACCACCGGAUUCACAUGAAGAUGACCUAGUGGAGACAAGCUGGACCUCACCUUACCAACAAGCUAUCAAAUCUGUUAUGUUUAAACAGUGAGACCUCCAAGGAAGGAGAUGCCAAGUAGUGCUUCAAAGCUUCGGACCACAAUCAAACACAGCAUCCUUUUCAACAGAAGCAGAAACUCAUCUGAAUAUGCUCAUGGAUGCUGACAUCAACAUUUAAUCAUCUCCUCACUCAUCCAGGAAGAGGGGGAGAUCAGUUACUACUGUACUUUAUUGUGUUCAACCAAAUCACCAUGUUACAAAAAUAGCAAGCUGCCAUAAUAAAAAAUAAGGCUCCUCUAUCCAGCACCAGAUAGCAUCAUUUUACUUUCAAGCCUAGAAAUU